AGAGUUUGAUCAUGGCUCAGGACGAACGCUGGCGGCGUGCCUAAUACAUGCAAGUCGAGCGCGGGAAGCACGCAGAUCUCUUCGGAGUGACGCGUGUGGAACGAGCGGCGGACGGGUGAGUAACACGUGGGCAACCUGCCUGUAAGACUGGGAUAACCCCGGGAAACCGGAGCUAAUACCGGAUAAUUUUGGUCACCGCAUGGUGACCAAAUAAAAGAUGGUUUCGGCCAUCACUUACAGAGGGGCCCGCGGCGCAUUAGCUAGUUGGUAAGGUAAUGGCUUACCAAGGCAUCGAUGCGUAGCCGACUUGAGAGGGUGAUCGGCCACACUGGGACUGAGACACGGCCCAGACUCCUACGGGAGGCAGCAGUAGGGAAUCUUCCGCAAUGGACGAAAGUCUGACGGAGCAACGCCGCGUGAGUGAGGAAGGUUUUCGGAUCGUAAAGCUCUGUUGUUGGUGAAGAACCCUCCUGUUAGGAAAUGAACAGGAGUUGACGGUAGCCAACCAGAAAGCCCCGGCUAACUACGUGCCAGCAGCCGCGGUAAUACGUAGGGGGCAAGCGUUGUCCGGAAUGAUUGGGCGUAAAGCGCGCGCAGGCGGCUUCUUAAGUCUGAUGUGAAAGCCCACGGCUCAACCGUGGAGGGUCAUUGGAAACUGGGGAGCUUGAGUACAGGAGAGGAGAGUGGAAUUCCACGUGUAGCGGUGAAAUGCGUAGAGAUGUGGAGGAACACCAGUGGCGAAGGCGGCUCUCUGGCCUGUAACUGACGCUGAGGCGCGAAAGCGUGGGGAGCAAACAGGAUUAGAUACCCUGAUAGUCCACGCCGUAACGAUGAGUGCUAGGUGUUAGGGGGGACCACCCCUUAGUGCUGAAGUCAACACAUUAAGCACUCCGCCUGGGGAGUACGACCGCAGGUUGAAACUCAAAUGAAUUGACGG
rnacentral:rRNA from 1 species